rnacentral:rRNA from 1 species
AUUGAACGCUGGCGGCAUGCUUUACACAUGCAAGUCGAACGGUAACAGGCCGCAAGGUGCUGACGAGUGGCGCACGGGUGAGUAAUGCAUCGGAACGUGCCCAGUCGUGGGGGAUAACUACUCGAAAGAGUAGCUAAUACCGCAUACGAUCUAUGGAUGAAAGCGGGGGACCGUAAGGCCUCGCGCGAUUGGAGCGGCCGAUGUCAGAUUAGGUAGUUGGUGGGGUAAAGGCUCACCAAGCCAACGAUCUGUAGCUGGUCUGAGAGGACGACCAGCCACACUGGGACUGAGACACGGCCCAGACUCCUACGGGAGGCAGCAGUGGGGAAUUUUGGACAAUGGGCGCAAGCCUGAUCCAGCAAUGCCACGUGCAGGAAGAAGGCCUUCGGGUUGUAAACUGCUUUUGUACGGAACGAAACGGCUCUGGUUAAUACCCGGGGCUAAUGACGGUACCGUAAGAAUAAGCACCGGCUAACUACGUG